AUGGAACCAGCAGUAGAGGUCGAGGAGGGUGACAUGGACGAACGAGAUGCAGUACGCAAAGGCAUCUGGUACCAGGCACUGGUUUGCACAGCAUCUCGAAGAGGAAACAUGUACGUUAUUGCACUCUUCUGUGUCUUCUUAUCAUCUACAUUUAUAGAUCACACAUCUGGGGAGACAGUUACCCAAACCCCCUCUGAAAAGACCAGCACUGAAGGGUUGCAUGUUGCAUUAUCAUGCAGUACUGAUGCUACAGCUCAAUAUAUGGCUUGGUACUUCCAGAAACCUGGGCAAACCAUCCAGUUUCUUUUCCUUAGUUACACAAAACCAGAAGACCUUGAUAAUGAUAUAAAGGAUCGAUUUUUAUAUAAAUAUGACAACGCAAAACGGCAGUUUCCAUUAAAUAUAACUAAACUGAGAAUCUCUGACUCUGGGACAUAUUACUGCGCUAUGAGUCCCACACUGGGUGAAGAACACAAGGAGGACGUACAAUAA